AUGGAUCAUUCCAUCCCUUAUUCCCGUGGCUAUGCAUUGGAUUCAGAUGAUGAAGGUCCGGAUGAACAAGUUGAUGAGGAGGGGUUCACAGUGAAGGAGGCCGAAGCUUUCGAGAAUGUAUUCAAGCGGGAUCAUCAGACUCCAUUGUUCAAGGAUGUUAGUCUCGCGGAUGAAGCCGUGGUAGAUGACGACCAAGGUAUAUCUGUUGGAGUUAGGCCAGGUUCUCAUUGGGAUUUGGAAGACGACAAGAACAAGAUUUCUCCCAGGUCUAAGUUCAGAACCUUCUUGGAAUUGAAGAUGUGGCUGGGCAACUACUCGAUUACGCAUUAUCAUCCACACAAGGUGGUGAACUCGGAUGUCAAUGUGUGCUACAGGUUGCAAGCGAAGAGAAAAAAUGUCCAUGGAUUGUGCGUGCAAGACCAUGGAAAGGAUGGCCCACUUGGCACGUAG
rnacentral:rRNA from 1 species